GAUGAACGCUGGCGGCGUGCCUAAUACAUGCAAGUCGAGCGAACAGACGAGGAGCUUGCUCCUCUGACGUUAGCGGCGGACGGGUGAGUAACACGUGGAUAACCUACCUAUAAGACUGGGAUAACUUCGGGAAACCGGAGCUAAUACCGGAUAAUAUAUUGAACCGCAUGGUUCAAUAGUGAAAGACGGUUUUGCUGUCACUUAUAGAUGGAUCCGCGCCGCAUUAGCUAGUUGGUAAGGUAACGGCUUACCAAGGCAACGAUGCGUAGCCGACCUGAGAGGGUGAUCGGCCGCACUAGAGCUGGGACACGGUCCAGACUCCUACGAGAGGCAGCAGUAGGGAAUCUUCCGCAAUGGGCGAAAGCAUGACGGAGCAGCGCCGCGUGAGUGAUGAAGGUCUUCGGAUCGUAAAACUCUGUUAUUAGGGAAGAACAAAUGUGUAAGUAACUAUGCACGUCUUGACGGUACCUAAUCAGAAAGCCACGGCUAACUACGUG
rnacentral:rRNA from 1 species